AGCGAACGCUGGCGGCAGGCCUAACACAUGCAAGUCGAACGGCUCUUCGGAGCAGUGGCGGACGGGUGAGUAACGCGUGGGAACGUGCCCUUUGGUUCGGAACAACACAGGGAAACUUGUGCUAAUACCGGAUGAGCCCUUUGGGGGAAAGAUUUAUCGCCAUUGGAGCGGCCCGCGUUGGAUUAGGUAGUUGGUGGGGUAAAGGCCCACCAAGCCGACGAUCCAUAGCUGGUCUGGGAGGAUGAUCAGCCACACUGGGACUGAGACACGGCCCAGACUCCUACGGGAGGCAGCAGUGGGGAAUCUUGCGCAAUGGGCGAAAGCCUGACGCAGCCAUGCCGCGUGAAUGAUGAAGGUCUUAGGAUUGUAAAAUUCUUUCACCGGGGAAGAUAAUGACGGUACCCGGAGAAGAAGCCCCGGCUAACUUCGUGCCAGCAGCCGCCGUAACAC
rnacentral:rRNA from 1 species